UCGCAGCCCGACCUGAGUGGAGCUCUUUUUCUUUUUUUUGAGAAAAAGAAAAAAGCGGGAAUGGAGGGCGGAUUAAGC
rnacentral:sRNA from 1 species